rnacentral:miRNA from 1 species
UAGGGUUAGAAACUUGGCUC